UUAACCUCUAUUUUCUAUUCCAGAAACAUAAGAGAGUGCUCAUGUGUUGUCAGUGCUUGUUACAUUUUUAUAGCUGAAGAAAUGACAUUUUGGAGAAUAUAAAUAUUUGUACAAGUUGGUAGAUACCCUCUCUGUCCAACUCCAAAUGAUGUGCUUUCUCUCACAUAGCCCCAUGACUCAGUGUUGGCAUGGUAGGCCUUUGACUCUGGCCUGGGAGCCCUGAGCACAGGGAUGGGGACUGAAAGAGUGGGCUGUGGAGCCAGGCUUCAGGGAUGCAACAAGGGCUGCAAACAUCCUUCUCUUGCAGGCUCAGAAACAUCCAGUCACUUCCCUGACCACACUUCUCAGCUCUGCUUUCAGCUGACUUUCACGUUCUCAAGGUUAACCUUGUCAGCCUUGAUGAUCAACAAGGUUGCAAUGAGUAUUCAUAGAAAUUGGUACAGAAGUUAAUGUCCAGAUCCACAUGAAACGCAGGCAGAAAUGAAGACAGUGACACUUACCAAUCUUGACAGAAGGGACGAAAGCCUAAACUCUACAAGGAAAUGUUUGUAGCCCUCAUCAGUGUGGUGUUGAAUAUUGGAGACAGUAUAUGCACUUUAAAAAUCACAGGAUCUAAGCAUUAUGGAAAUGACAAUGACAACUUAAGGAGAGCUUUUGUCGCUAUGGGAGGAUGCUUAGAAACAUGCACUGCUAUUCGGCAUCAUUAAGAAACCCCCAAGUCCUUGCUUUCAGAGAGAACCUUUCAGAUCUUCAACCAGAUACCUGCCAAGAGUACCUUUAACAUGCAAACUAGCCAAGGGAGUUUGCCUGUGUCCUCAUAACCAGUGUCAAAGCAGGAGAACCUGAAGAAAUAUUGCACAUGUCCUCCCGGUGCUGCCCCUGAGCUGUCCCUAAAGAGAUCCUUGAAGUCAAGUGAGUGUAACAUCAAAAUGGAGAGAGACGCAUUUGUUUACUUCACCACAAAGCUUGGAGGAGUUUCGGUACUUCAAGGGCUCGUUGAAGGGGUAGUGGAGAGCAGAAAGGGGGAGCGUGUCAGGCCAGAGGACCCAUACCCAGACUGUGCAGUGCACGUGCCAAUGGAGGCAGUGGUCCCCGUGGCUGUGGCAGCAGUGUUUGGUGAUCCCAGCAAGAAGGGAAGAUGUGCCAGACUGGAGUAAUGUGAGCGGCGUCACCUGGCAGAUGUAGUGGUCCCUGGUUGACACUGGGGUGCCUCAGGUUGCAGAAAGAGAAAAAAGAAGCUAUGGUACACAGUAGAUGAGUAGGUGGCCGAUUUUACUUGUUUAUGAGCACACAUGAGACAUCCUUGGUAUAUUAGAGAGGAUAACCUGAUACAACACAUAUGCCCCAAAGGUUUAAUGGCUCAAACACAACAGGAGUUUAUAUUUUGCUUACAUAACAGUUGUGAGGGGUUGAGUCAUUGCACACCUGCAAGGCCCCGCGCCCCCAGUGAAGCCGGAAGCAACAUCCAGGAAGGCUGACCAAGACGUCCGCUUCUGGAAACUGUUGCUUUCUUGCCUGCGCCAUGGAAACUGUUGCUUGCCAACUUC